AUGAGGAACUUGAAGGACAAGGCCUUUGUUGGAACAGGAAACAGCAGAACAUUAUCGCAGACUGGAGUACUUUUGACUGACAAGGUCCUGGUGAGCGUGUGUGCAUCGUUAUUGAACCUCCUGACUUCUUGGAACUCCAUCACUUCUCAUUGGCCUGACCCAACCGGAAGCCAGAG